AAAAGCUGGAUUAGGUUCGCAACGAGUCAAUCUUGUUUGUUAAACAAACCUUCUCAUUUGCGUUGGAGUUUUUAUCUGGUAGGAGCAGCGGUUUAUACUUUUAAAUUAUAUGAACCGACAGGACUUCUCCGUGGAUUCUUCAUUGUUUCCUGAAAUUUGGGCAUCAAUGGCGAAACUAAUCUGUGGUGGAUCAUGAUUCAGGAAGAGUGCUGGCAUUAUGAUUUCGAUUGAAAUGUAUUGAUUCAUGCUUUCUGCAUGCAUGCGCAUCACCAUUUCAAAGCUGUGGAACUUGAACGGUGUCUUUGUAUUCUCAGGGCCAACUACAUGGUUCGCAUCCUUGGUGCUACUCAACGAUGACAAAUUUGACCCUUGACCGUAUCUUAUUGUAUAUUUGAUUAAAAUCAAAUCAACUAAUUGUAUUAUUUCUUUUGGUAUGUUAUUUGAAUGUGGAUACUGAUAAUGAUGGUGGCAAGUGGAAAUUUACGUAUAGAUGAAAGUCAAAUUUUUACGGAAUCAUGCUUUCUGCGAGCAUGUGUAUCACCAUUUUAAAGCUGUGGAAAUUGAACGGUUUUUCGUGUA